GUUGUAUUGAAUUCCUGGCAGUGGAACAUGCAUACCGAGGAGAGAGAGAGUGUAUAUAUUUCUGAAAGGUUUUGUGUUUUGUUUUGUUUUGUUGAAGACAGAUGAUUUUUAAAAGGUUUUGGUGAGUUAUUACCAAAUGGAUCACCAGACGUUUCACUAACUUACCCUUUCUCUAGCAGGAUGGAGGGUGUGGGGAAAACAAGUUCCCAUGGCCAGGAUCCUCACCUGACCCUGAACUACUCCAUGAUAUGGGCCUGCACACGGGCUUGGUCAGCAGGACUGGGCUGCAACGCUAGCUUCCCAUCAGAGCCUUUCUUGACUGCUUGCAGCGCCAGUGUCAGCACCUCUAAGAUGGGAGAAGUGGGAUUGUUCUGAGAAUCUGCUCUGGGGGUUCAGUCCUCCGACUCCACUCCCGCAUGUCUCAGUCUGGCAUCAAAGGCACCUGCAUCAGAAGGCGCUCCAUCUCCGCAGCUGGAAUCAAUUUCUCCCUGGACUAGUUAUUACUCUUUCCCUCCACUGGUUAAGAUGACCACAUUUUCUGAACUGAAAUUGGGAUUCAUGCUCUCUCAUUAGUACAACUGCUCUUUGGAGAACAGGUGCAGAGAAUAUGAAAGCAGGCUCAACCAGGAAUCCUGGAACAUACGAUCACUACACAAGUUGUAGGCCUCACGUUCCCAGAUCACACUGCAAGUUAGCUGUGGGCAUAUCCACCACUGUCCUUCUGCAGUUCUGGGGCAGGAGGAAGCACUGGACCAGGUCAGGACCAGGCUCCAAUGAUUCAGACCAUCUCAGCCCCAUGCCUCGUGGGU